AAGAAGAAGAAGAGCGUUUUUGUGGCUCGUCCUGUGUAAACUUGUUCAUUUUCUCCUUUCAAGAUGCCGACGUCUCGGGAGAGAAUGUGCCGCUCGGAAAUGCAGGACAGAUGCCAGGGAAGUCCAGAACACAUUGACAUGUCUGCGUUGUUUGCAACAUGACUUUGUGACUUCAAGGCAUCUGAACAGAAUCUCCACUUCGAGUUCCAUUCCGGAAUGCGUGUGCUGGAUACCUGAUUCCAGACCAUGACACUGAUGUGCUUUCUGAAAAUUCAGACAUGGGGGUAAAGUUCCUGAGGGAUAAACACUACCUUCACUGGGUUUGUGCUCUGUGGUCAGUGGAAUUGCAACAUGGACUCAAACACACUGGUUUCCUCUGUAUGUGGCUGGGCAGGGAGCCGUGAUGCCAGCUAGACAGUGCCAUCAAUGCAGUUGAAGCAGGAUGGAGUCUGAAGGACCUGACGGUGGUACCAGACUGGUCACUAGUAGACACUUGUUACUGCACUACCUCAAGGUCCUAACUGUUGUACUAGACUGGCCACUAGAAGGAAACUCUUUGCUGUGAAAUGAAGUCAAAGUGUUCUGCCCCCCCCACCUGGUUGAGGUCCUAGUGUCUGCAGUCUAUGGAAAGCUCGUUGGCUGUUGAAGUGUUGCUGUCCUGGUGGAGUGGGAAGUGCUCGUCGUGUGGUACACCGGCUCGCACUCCUGUUUGGGCAGCAAGGAAGUGGGACAGUCUCGUUGGAACUGGGAAAACCAGGCCAAGUCAAUUCAACCCCUGACUAUGUGUUUUGCUGAAUAAAUAAAUCUACAAAUGUGA